AGGCGACGACGGGUAGCCGACCUGAGAGGGUGAUCGGCCACACUGGGACUGAGACACGGCCCAGACUCCUACGGGAGGCAGCAGUGGGGAAUAUUGCACAAUGGGCGCAAGCCUGAUGCAGCGACGCCGCGUGAGGGAUGACGGCCUUCGGGUUGUAAACCUCUUUCAGCUCCGACGAAGCGCAAGUGACGGUAGGAGCAGAAGAAGCACCGGCCAACUACGUGCCAGCAGCCGCGGUAAUACGUAGGGUGCAAGCGUUGUCCGGAAUUACUGGGCGUAAAGAGCUCGUAGGCGGUUUGUCGCGUCGUCUGUGAAAUUCUGCAGCUUAACUGCAGGCGUGCAGGCGAUACGGGCAGACUUGAGUACUACAGGGGAGACUGGAAUUCCUGGUGUAGCGGUGAAAUGCGCAGAUAUCAGGAGGAACACCGGUGGCGAAGGCGGGUCUCUGGGUAGUAACUGACGCUGAGGAGCGAAAGCGUGGGUAGCGAACAGGAUUAGAUACCCUGGUAGU
rnacentral:rRNA from 1 species